UACGUAGGGUGCAAGCGUUGUCCGGAAUUAUUGGGCGUAAAGAGCUCGUAGGCGGUCUGUCGCGUCGGCUGUGAAAACCCGAGGCUCAACCUCGGGCCUGCAGUCGAUACGGGCAAACUAGAGUACUGCAGGGGAGACUGGAAUUCCUGGUGUAGCGGUGAAAUGCGCAGAUAUCAGGAGGAACACCGGUGGCGAAGGCGGGUCCCUGGGCAGUAACUGACGCUGAGGAGCGAAAGCGUGGGGAGCGAACAGG
rnacentral:rRNA from 1 species